rnacentral:tRNA from 1 species
GUCGUGGCCGAGUGGUUAAGGCGAUAGUCAAGAAAUCUUUUGGGAUCGUUCGAAUCCUGCCGCGACG